AUGUUGCUAAAUAGCUGUUUUAAAAAAAGCUUACGGAUGGAUGAAUUAUUUCUUGUGCCAAAGACAGACUGUACCACGCUACCACCGUACCUAUUCUUCCAUUUUGCUACUCUACACAGAGUAACUCUACGACGUAGCGUUCACGUACGAUGUUCUCAAUUACCGCUAAGUCAGCAUGGGGCCAAGUUCGGGACAAAGACGACAGAUGAGACGACAGCAGUCAAAAGGCAAUGGCAUAAGCUAAUAAUUCCUAACCCGGCGAGCUCACUACUAUUUCGGCAACGCUGCAAAAUACCAAAGAAAUCAGCUGACUAUGAGGACAAGAAAUAUUCGAACCAAAAAAGAAGUCCCAUGUAUUGUGUAAAAAGUUUAAAGACCGUAUUUGAUGACACACAAUUUCCAAUUGAUGAUGACAAUGUCAUGCUUCAUCGUCUUGGCGACAGGUUGGAAUUUUUGCUUCAUGUUGGACUAAGGCAAAGUUCUGGUGUGUUUAGUCGAUCAAGAAGUCCUUGGCAUUACAUAAAUUCGUGCCUUAGCAAGUUGAAAACCAAUCACGAUGGAAUCCAUUUCGUCAGAGGAUUAUCUGAGCUUAAGACUCCUACAGGGAAACUUCGUUCUUUUCUCAGAUUUUGCCUUGUACAUCAAUGCCUGGCAGACACUUUGCAGCAAUGCACACUGUGUGAUGAUGUAACCAGUGAAUAUUACAGUGCAAAUUCUUUAUUUUCACAACAAACUUGGAAAUCAAGUUUUAUCUCAUCACUCUAUGAACUCAACGACAUUCAGUACGACCUAGCUCCGACCGGCUUCGAUUUGGAUGUCGGAUGGCCUACUUUUGCUCGGAAGCAGUUUGGCAGCUUCAACUGGAGCAGACAACAACGAUCCUCCUCGAGGCUCUCUCUCAGUCUACUCUCCGCCUCAGAAUCUCAGAGCGUCAAUAGCUUUCACAGUGAACUGACUUCGCCUUUGUGCACUGGCCCGUUAAACUCAACCAUGACCAGUAGCAUUGGCUCGAGUAGUCCGUCUCCGCCGCCGGAUCCGCAUGAAAUCAGUCGGCUUAUUUCUACCAUACGCCAAAUUACGGAGGAUAAAGAGGAAUUAAAAAUUCAAUUGGAUUCUCUUUGCAGACAGUUGGGCGAGGAAAGAGAAAAUGGAAAAAAGGACCGGGAACAGAUGGAGGUGGAACGACGUCAGUACCAAGAAAAGACAAUUGAAUUGGAGCGACGCUUGGAACUAGCCCACAAGCAGGUGAGCCCACAAACACUUGAAAGUUUGCGACAGGCGGAAGCACUGGGCAGGAAGAUGCUGGCCGCCCGAGAUGGAGAGGUUGAAUUGCUCAAGGCUCAGUUGGUUUCCACCGAGGCUAAAGUGGAUGCGUUAAAAGAACGACAGGAAUUGCAAAAGGUUAUCGUUAUGGGGGAGGUACGUAAGAUGGCCAACGAAAUGGCUGCGACGGAAUUGCAACUCAAGAAAUGGAAAAAAUUGGCUCUUGACUGGGCCCAAAUCGAGCAUAUGGAUGAUAUUAAACUAGACUCUAUUAAAGAAUUGGAAGGAGCCGAAGAGCUGGGCAAAAAACUGAAGGAGCUGUUGAGCGCCCAGCAGACAGCCGCCAAAGAAUUAGAUGCCAUCAAAGAGGCUAACAUGUCGCUGGUGAGGGCCUUAGCACAACACGAUCAUCAGCUGUCGACAGUGACGAGCCAGUUAGAUCAAACCUGGGUCUGGUUCUCCAAACUGAAGACACAGGCAAGUCAAUUACAGACGGACGAAUCGGUGAUGCGCUACGAUUUGAAGGAGAAACGAAAACUUCUCAACAGUUUAAAAGAACAAUUGGAAGUGUCCAAACAGCAAUGGGACCGUAUUCGCAACCAGAAUCACGCCAAUCAAGAAGAAUGGCAGUCCUUUCGAAACGAAUUGGACGGUCGGAAAGUGACGGGCGCAACGGCGAUUGCACAGAAGGAAGUAGAACCAGAACAAGUUGAGGUGGAAAGGGAACAACCAGCCUUUGUUCCUCCUAUCGAUUUAGUGUCGGACAUUGUUCCUAAUCAAGUAGUAACCGACGAUGAUGAAUUGCCUGUACCGGAAUCAUCGACUUCAGCAGACGGAAGAGAAGAACGUUUGCAAUUGAUGGAGCAGCAAUGUCGCUCUCUUUACGCCAAACUCGUCAAUUCCACUAGCCGGAAUGCUGCGUUGGUUAGCCGACUUGCAAAUCUUCAUCAGCAUUAUUCCAUCAAAGAAGAACAACCGUCUUCUCCAACAAUGUCUGCCCCGCCGGAGAGUUUGGUUGAAAAAGUGGUCGAUCAAGGGGAAGAUGCCGAACGAGUGAUUCUGGAGAAAGAUCGCCAAUUGGCGGUCGUAACGGAAGAACUGAAAGCCAUCAAAUUCGACCAAACGACUCGUCAGUUGGAAAAAGAGAAAGAAAAUCAGCAUUGGAAUUUUCUUCUUCAGGCCUACCAGCAACAGGAGGAACAACUCAAAUUGGCUCUCACUCAAUUAGCAGAUAAUGGCCAGCUGAUUGGAUCGUUGCAGCUCCAGUUGAGCACAUUGACAGGUCGCAAUCAGGAAGAACGCCAGUCAUUGGAUGCUCAAUUCCGGCAAAUGGAACUCUCUUUGAUGACUCGAAACGAAGAAUGCGAAGGUUUAGUCAAUGAAAUCCGCUCCACGGUUGCGGAAAUGGAUCAAUUGAGGACAUCGUACAUAGAGUUGCAAGAGAAAUUCAAAUGCUGUCAAGAAGCUGAAUCUCAAGCCAGGUCUGACAAUCAAUUGUUGCGGGAAGAAUCGCUCAUGUUGCGUGACAAAAUCGUCCAACUCAUCAAGGAAAAGGAUUGUCUGUGGCAGCGCAGUGACCGACUUUUGCAUUUACAAAGGAUUCAGGCGACAGACCAAUGGGUAGCUGAUGGAUCUAUUCGUGAUUGUCAGAGCUGUCAGUCUCGUUUCACCAUUUUUGUCCGCCGUCAUCAUUGUCGCUUGUGUGGUCGCAUCUUUUGCCAUUCUUGUUCUGAUUAUUGGCUGAAAAUUGCUUCCAGCUCGCGACCCACGCGUACAUGUCACGAAUGUUUUGCUAUCCAUCGACAGUUUAGCCAACCGGGCGCCACUGCCCAGCUGAGCGAACUCCCACUGGCUGAGCCCCCGGAAGCUAUAGAUCUGAAUACUCAACCAGUUGUCGUUCAACAGCCACAAUCCGAUGGUGGGACAUUGGCGGAACCUUGCGCUGGAUUCAGCGUCAUCAGCGACGAUGAGAUUGUUCAAUCCCUCAACGACUCGAGUCCUUACAGCAGCCCUAAGAAUGGCCCUAUUAACAAAAACAUCCGCACGGCAGCCGUACGCACUUUCACUUCGUUGGUUCAUGAUGUGGUAGAUGAAACUGUCCCGUCUGAAUCCUUCGUCAGCGCAGGAAUGAUUUAUCGGAUUCCGAUCCAGGUCGAACGGCCUGCUUGCACUCUCCAUUGGAAAUUCAAAACCGAUCCGAGGAGCAUCGCGUUCGCUGUUGUGGGAGCUGAGGAUGGCAAUCAAGGCGAUGACUCUUUAACGCGAGUGAUCGUCGAAACAGCUCUGCAUAAAUCGGAAGAGGAUUUUGUGUGCGGGCAGGCUGAAUUGCCCCUCUCUGGACUUUAUUACGUCUACUUUGACAACAGCUACUCCCGUUUCUCUGCCAACAAAGUCACCUUUCAUCUGCGUUUGGCAGCUCCCAGCUCGCCCAUUUGAUGGCAACAACUUCCCAAUUUUUAUCGAUGGCAACUUUCUUUUAUUCAAAAUCGCAAAAGACAAAAGAAAUCAAACGAUCCUUUGAAGAGUGCUCGGAAACUGGUCGUCUUAUUUAUAAUUUUAUAUAGUGCGUCGUUAAUGUCUUUGAUGCAAAGACGUUGAUUUUUCUCUGAAUAGACGUGAUUUGAAGAAACAGGACAAGUUAAAAUGUUGAAAUAUCGGAUUGUUUAAUAGAGACAAAACAUGCGGAAAUCCACAAUUUGGUUAUACAUCACUGUACACGGCAAAAGGAAAAAUAUGUGAUUCAAUUUCAUAUGUGGUUAAAAAUUCGUUGACUUUUUUCAUGUAAUCUGUUUUUAUCUCUUCCCCUCACAGAUUGUUUUGUUUGUUUUUUUUCUCUCUCUUUAGAAGAAGACGUUGAACUCGUCUUCCCAACUGAGUUUCUUGAUCCUUCUGGGUAAUGAGGCGUCAGUCGGCCAGGCGCCCGGUUGACUGCUGCUCAAGAAAGUUCGCGGAUGGUGCGGACAGGGCGCUGGUGGCGGGGACUGUUCGUUGUUGUUGCUGCCGCUGCCGCUGGAAGAGAUCUUGUUAUUGUGGUGGUGAUUGCUAGCCGCCUGUUGCUGCUGCUGCUGCCUGGGUGGGGGAGUAGGUGGUGGCAUUGGUGGAGGAGGUGGUGAAUUGUGGACGGUGCUCAGAGUCGGACUCUGAAUGGGCACCACGCGGCGGCAAGACGGCCUGGCAAGGGGAUUGAUGGGAAUGCGGCGUAGGGUCGCCGUGAUGGGCGUUGAAGUGUCGCCGCUGUAAAGUCCACCGACACUGACUUUAGGUUGCGGCUGGACAACCGUUAAAGGACUGGGUUGGGUCUUUUUCCGUUUGCUGUUCAAUUUUGUUGGAAGCAAGGCUUGAAAUUUGCGUUUUUAUGAAUUUGUGGAUGAGAUUAGAAAACCUACUAUUGACAGAGGUAGACGGCCAGACCAGAGAUGAUGAGAGAUAAAAUGCCCAGCAAUAUUCCCAAGAUGAUUAACAAUAGCCCACUGCCGUCGGCGGUGGAUAAAGUAAUGCCGCUUCCGUUCAUCAUCAGGAAAUCGACUGGUAUCCUUUAUGCGAUGUUUACCUGUCGAGGAGGAAUGCCGGAAUCGCGUGCCACCGCCAUCAGAUGAAUAACUGUCGAAUUGAGAGCUGACGGAUCGCUGAAAAUGACGUCUCCGUUCUCAUGCACAUUAAACGCCCUGGUUUUAAGAUGUAAUCAAAUGAAUCAAUAAAAAGUAACACGGUCGGCUGCAUCGCCGUCAUCUGCGCGGAUGUGUCCGAUGAUGGAGCCGACGGGCAAGGCCGACUCUUUGACAAUGAAUUCGUAUUCGGCCAAAUCGAAACGCGGAUCGCAGUCGUUGACAUCCAGGACGGUAACCUCAACCGUCGCCGUAUCAUUCUGCAAACAUUUCACGGUAACUAAUCGAAUGAUACGGUGCGAUGUAGUGAACAAUACCGUUAGUCCAUCCGUGACCCAUACAACGAAGUGGUGAGUCAUCUGUGCUUCGUAAUCCAACGCGCGUUCCAACUUGAUUUCGCCCAUCUUAUCGACACUGAAGGCUUGAUCCGUUCCAUUGUGACUUUCCAUUACGAAGCGAAUGGUCUUAAAUGAGAAGCGAAAGAUUCAUCAUCCCCGUAAGGCAAACACAACGGCUAUUCAACAACGUUUAGAUCUUUCUUUUGCUCAACGAGUAAUUGCGGUGAUGUUUGGUGCGUAGGCGCCUUUGCAACUGUACAACAACAACAACAAGAAGACGAAGAGACUAUACCAACCUGAUCGAUGGGUUUGUUGAUGGCCAUGGCCAAAAUGAUGGUUUCGACCGGGACAUUCUCCAGUACUUGAACCGAGUAGCGUCGUUGGAGGUAUUGCAAUUGAGGUGAAAACGACCAACUCCGGCUAACGGUUAAAGUGGUUAAUGCGUAACGGUCGAGGUUAUCAACUUGAUAAAUGCCGAUUGAAUUUGAAUAAGGAUAAUACCUUGACGACGAGAAUGACAGGCUGGACUAGCUCGUUAUCUUCUAAACUCCGAUUCAGAUAGACGGAACCGUUUAAUGGGUCAAGAAAGAAAUCUUGGUACUCUGCUCCUCCUGUUGUUCGUCAUUUAAUUGAUUUUAACAAGAAAAAAAAGGAAAGGAUGGCCAUACCGGCGUUCCAGGCAUAACGAAUAGACGCGUUGAUUCCGGCAUCCUGAUCGACGGCGCGCAUCGGUUCCGGUCGGAUUUCUAGACCGAUUCCCUAGGGAAAACGACGGAGAAAAUCGAAAGUGUGUUGGCUUUUCUACAUCUCUUUUCGUGUGUGUGUGGUGAGAACAAACUUUUUUUUUUUUUUAUAUCUUCAAAUUUCUCUUAGUUAUCUAGGUUGCUCCCCCCUCUCUCUUUCUCAUAGCAUCGUACCUGUUAGGAAUUAUUAUUAAUUUGUGUAAUAGGUGUAAGAAUCUCACUUUUUGAGCGGGCUGGGGUAAAUGAGCCCAGUAUCGUGACUGGCCAAACAGUGGGUUCUGGUCGUCGGCGUCGUUUAUGUCGAUGCUAACCACAGCGUCCGUGUAUAGAGGAGGUUGUCCCUGAUCCUAAAAUUUUUUUUAAUUUUUUUUUUACACAAAUAAGAUUAUGUUAGAUUGGAAAGGUGUGCAACUUUAAUGAUUUCUCGCUCUCAAACUGAAGAAGAAAAAGACCUGCGCUCUGAUUGCGAUUUUGAAAUGUUUCAGUGUUUCAUAAUCGACAGCUUUCUUUAAUACUAGGGUACCCUCCAAGCUGCUAGCGAAUCCAAGUACGUCCUAAUAAGUCAUAAUGGACCAUUAGAAGGAGCUGCAAUUACAUUCGAAACAGUGCCACUAAACAAUGUGGCGGUAGAAAUGACGUACCGAAUAAGGCCCAGCUAGAAUAGAGUACUGUACAGUUGAAUAAGGCCCAGGCUGAUCUGCAUCCAGCGCUUGAAUGCCUUGCAAAACGACUGAACCGACUAUCGUUGACUUUUUGUGUGUGUUUCAAUUCAAUUGAAUAGGGAAGGGUAUUAUUAAAUUAGAUUGAAUUCUUUCUUAUCUUUUGCAAAUUGUACCUCUGAAAUGUUGAUGAAAUAGGUCGAAUUGCGGAAAAUGGGCGAAUUAUCGUUGGCGUCCGUCACACGAAUGUUGACUGGAAUCGUUAAACUCUAUUCACGUAAUGACAGUUUGUGUCGUAGGCAAAAGAUACAAAUGUUAUUUUAGUUGCUUUUUGUUUUUCUUAAAUGAGGGGGGUGGGGAUGGGGAUAGCAAAGUAACAUAGUAGUAGUAAAAAGAGAAAAUUGAUUACUAGUUCGGCGUUGGGACCACGACGCUCGCAAGUAAUUCGUGUCAUCACCUGGGCAGGGCCGGUCAGACCCUGCAAUAAUAACCAUCGUUGCACAUAAGUGUGUGUGUAUGUAUGCGAAAAGAGUUCCGGGGGUGGAGUAGAUGUUUUUCUUUUUUUUUUUUUUCCGUCUUAAAAAUAUAUGGGUUAAUUACCUCUUUGUCCAGAGCUUUAAUAAGCGUGAGAUUCUUGCUGUGCGUGUCAAUGGAGACGACUGUUUCAUUGCUGGCCUCUAGGCGCAUGGUGAUAUCGCCAUCGGCACUCGGAUCGCCCGCAAUCCGUAAAACACCUGUGUUUCGCGUCGUGUGUGUGCGCAUUUUUUGUUGGGGGGCAGCGGGAAUGUUUUUGUUUUGCCCAACGGGAAACAAUUUUUUUUUUUUUGUCAGGUAGAGGAAAACAAGAAGAAAAACAGUUUUCAACAAUGUACCAGCAUUUUGAAAUACUUUAUUAUGUAUACCGAUAACGGAACCGACUGUGGCAUUUUCACUGACGAAAAAGGUCUCGGCCGAUCCUCCACCAAUCAGGAAACAUCGAUUGUCUGCACACGCAAUAACACAACGUCCACCAAUUAAGUGCAUUUAUUUUCAUCCGGCACUAACAAAGAUCUACCGUCGAAGGCUAUUUGUUUUUUCUUACCUUGAGCCGAUGCAAAUUGAGCUAAUAAUAGAAGGAAGGUGAAGGGUAUCCAUGACAAAUAAGGGCGGAAUGUUUUCAUUGUGUCAUUCCGGUAGAUGGCUCAUCCGGUCUUGUUUUUUCUUCGUAAGGCCAACGCCAAAGAAAAAACAAACAAAACACCUGAGCUAUUAGUCACUGAUCCCUUCCUAAACCCCUAAAAAAAGAAAGAAAAAGAGAAGAACCAGAAUUAAAGCGGCGUGUGCUGUUUGGUGUAAGUAUCGAUUUAACAGGACUUGUUGUCAAAAGUAAAUGGAAGAGGGGAAGACCUCGAAAUAUAAGCACAACAUCCUGUUGUCAGCGCUUGCUUCCUAUAUCAACAUUUGUUUGUGGCUAAAAAGAAAAAUAUUUCAACAAAAAAAAGUGGGGGGGGGGGCGCUAUCGGCCCUAGCUCUAUACCAAACGGUACCUGAUGAUCCAAAACAGGAAAUGGUCCGGCAAAUCGCUAAUGCUAUGUCUUUUUGUUUGUUUUUUUUUAUGGCCGGCCUUGCACUUGAGGACGUGCUAUCCUAAAACGGAAAAAAAGAUUUCCGUUGGACUUUUCUUGAACAAACAAAAUAGGAUUUGUCUGUUGGAGAAUCAAGCCGAACGUCAAGACCGUUAGAAACAGUAGUAUCAAGUGUAGCCUACUGUAUAAAACCGCACAAACAGUCCAUUGUUUGGGGUGGAGUUGACGACCGCAAUAGUUCGUUAUUUCGUGAUCGAGGAUCUUACGACUCUUCAGGAUGAAAAACGGAUACCAUGUUCUAAACAUGUCCAUUUAAAUGCUAGAUAGAAUUGAAGUUUACCUGUGUGCUAUCCGGUGACUGUUCGGGGAUCGAGUUGAUCGACUACUAAUUCCACUUAAGUUACCAAUCCACCGUCAAAACGUUGGAUAGAAACAAUGGUGCACACUUAACAAUCACUUCAAGUCACGAACGAAGAAGCCUUUGCUCGCCCUCUCUUGAAGGAGGCGUGUCCACGUGGGCGGAGACUCAUUCAGUUUGGCUUGGAAUUUGUGUAAAUCUUAUUAUGUUUGUUAAGUAUAUUUUAUCUAAUUUAAAAUUUAGUGAAUAAAAAAACUAUUUUGACUUACAAUUCAGAUUAUCAAAUAAUUGAAUUACAUUUGCGUCAGUUAUGAUCUUGUAUGGCAACAAUGUGGGAUUUGACACGUAGGUAGACGUUUUGCAGUCUUUUCGGUUUUUCUCUCGCUGUGGCCUGGUCGCGUAGCGUUGCUCAUCGACAGGUUCUUUUUGCGUUGGACCGAGCUAUCCAGCUGUCGUGUUUUCCAUUUGUUUUUCUCAGACACCGAUCGCCGUACUAUUUCUGAAAAUGGUGGCUUCUCAAAGAAUGAAGGUAGCUAACGAAAAAGCCAGCAAAUACGUCACCAUGAGAGGAAAUGUGCCCAAAUCAAGC